rnacentral:rRNA from 1 species
UGCAGUCGAGGGGUAUAGUUCUUCGGAAUUAGAGACCGGCGCACGGGUGCGUAACGCGUAUGCAAUCUACCUUUUACAGAGGGAUAGCCCAGAGAAAUUUGGAUUAAUACCUCAUAGUAUAGCAGUUUCGCAUGAAACCACUAUUAAAGUCACAACGGUAAAAGAUGAGCAUGCGUCCCAUUAGCUAGUUGGUAAGGUAACGGCUUACCAAGGCUACGAUGGGUAGGGGUCCUGAGAGGGAGAUCCCCCACACUGGUACUGAGACACGGACCAGACUCCUACGGGAGGCAGCAGUGAGGAAUAUUGGACAAUGGGCGCAAGCCUGAUCCAGCCAUGCCGCGUGCAGGAUGACGGUCCUAUGGAUUGUAAACUGCUUUUAUACAGGAAGAAACCCUGGUUCGUGAACCAGCUUGACGGUACUGUAAGAAUAAGGAUCGGCUAACUCCGUGCCAGCAGCCGCGGUAAUACGGAGGAUCCAAGCGUUAUCCGGAAUCAUUGGGUUUAAAGGGUCCGUAGGCGGUUUAAUAAGUCAGUGGUGAAAGCCCAUCGCUCAACGGUGGAACGGCCAUUGAUACUGUUAAACUUGAAUUAUUAGGAAGUAACUAGAAUAUGUAGUGUAGCGGUGAAAUGCUUAGAGAUUACAUGGAAUACCAAUUGCGAAGGCAGGUUACUACUAAUGGAUUGACGCUGAUGGACGAAAGCGUGGGUAGCGAACAGGAUUAGAUACCCUGGUAGUCCACGCCGUAAACGAUGGAUACUAGCUGUUGGGAGCAAUCUCAGUG